GGGCCAAGGAGGCAGCACACAUGAGGACUUUGCUGGAGUCUUCACAGUGUUUGUACAGACGGUAAAAAACAAAAACGGAAAUGUUCAGACAAGUCAAACCAUGAAAUCACUCAUGUGACUCAGGCGUCUCUUUUCCCCUCCACUGCCUCGCAUGAAUUACUGACCUUCUGACUUUGUGGAGAGAUUCCCAGAAAACAAGCCAGAAGCUUUUCUUCCUGUGUCAACAGGAAGUGACCUGCUGCUUAGGUUGCAAUACUCCCUGUUGGUUAUGAAGUUGAAAAUACAUUCACAUCUGUCCUUGAUCUGAUGCUGGUUAUCACCCUCUCCCAAAGAAAAGAUGGUGUUGGACUACAAGGUCUCCGAGGCCACUUUGAGCUAUACAGUUAUUACUUCUUUAACUUUUGUUUCAAAGGUAAUAAGAAUAAACCUCAUUAAAGGCUUCUGG
rnacentral:lncRNA from 10 species